AUUGAACGCUGGCGGCAGGCCUAACACAUGCGAGUCGAGCGGAUGAAGAGAGCUUGCUCUCUGAUUCAGCGGCGGACGGGUGAGUAAUGCCUAGGAAUCUGCCUGGUAGUGGGGGACAACGUUUCGAAAGGAACGCUAAUACCGCAUACGUCCUACGGGAGAAAGUGGGGGAUCUUCGGACCUCACGCUGUCAGAUGAGCCUAGGUACGAUUAGCUAGUUGGUGAGGUAAAGGCUCACCAAGGCGACGAUCGUUAACUGGUCUGAGAGGAGGAUCAGUCAAACUGGAACUGGGACGCGGUCCAGACUCCUACGGGAGUCAGCAGUGGGGAAUAUUGGACAAUGGGCGAAAGCCUGAUCCAGCCAUGCCGCGUGUGUGAAGAAGGUCUUCGGAUUGUAAAGCACUUUAAGUUGGGAGGAAGGGCAGUAAGUUAAUACCUUGCUGUUUUGACGUUACCGACAGAAUAAGCACCGGCUAACUUCGUGCCAGCCGCCGCAGUAA
rnacentral:rRNA from 1 species